rnacentral:lncRNA from 1 species
GGGGAUGCACAUAAGUUUUGUGUGUGUUAUUUUUCUUGCUUUCAUGUUUAUUUGUGUGUGUGUGUGUGUGUGUUUUUUUUUUUUUUGCCUUUUUCAAAAAAAAUCCAAAAGUAUUUUCCUUUUUUGUUUUAAAUUAUUCAAAAAAUCCCAAAAAUAUUCUUCAUUUUUGUUUUUAUUUUGUGUAAAUGUAUGGUGCUUGAACAUGAAUUGAUUGACAUUAGUGAAUGGUAGUAUGAUGUUGUGAAUUGAGUUAUUUGAAUGUAUAAAUUUUAAUUGAUGCUUAUUGAAUUCUUUACUUUGCGAAUAAAUUGUUUAGUUCCAUUAAUUACAUUGUAUAAUAGGAUAGAGG